rnacentral:rRNA from 1 species
UACGUAGGUGGCGAGCGUUGCCCGGAUUUACUGGGCGUAAAGGGAGCGUAGGCGGACUUUUAAGUGAGAUGUGAAAUACUCGGGCUCAACUUGAGUGCUGCAUUUCAAACUGGAAGUCUAGAGUGCAGGAGAGGAGAAUGGAAUUCCUAGUGUAGCGGUGAAAUGCGUAGAGAUUAGGAAGAACACCAGUGGCGAAGGCGAUUCUCUGGACUGUAACUGACGCUGAGGCUCGGAAGCGUGGGGAGCAAACAGG